rnacentral:rRNA from 1 species
AAAAGCGUAUGUGCUGUGAGCUCGAUGAGUAGGGCGGGACACGUGGUAUCCUGUCUGAAUAUGGGGGGACCAUCCUCCAAGGCUAAAUACUCCUGACUGACCGAUAGUGAACCAGUACCGUGAGGGAAAGGCGAAAAGAACCCCGGCGAGGGGAGUGAAAAAGAACCUGAAACCGUGUACGUACAAGCAGUGGGAGCCCCACCACUAAGCCAGUGGUGAACUCCACAUACGCAUCCUUUGCUGAGGAUACGGUUAACGGAGCGAAAGCGACGUUCAACCGCAAAAGAAGCAGAGGGGGCUUAGUGGUGGGGUGACUGCGUACCUUUUGUAUAAUGGGUCAGCGACUUAUAUUCUGUAGCAAGGUUAACCGAAUAGGGGAGCCGGAGGGAAACCGAGUCUUAAC